UUUACAUUUGAGUGAGUGGCGAACUGGUGAGUAACACGUGGGAAACCUGCCCAGAAGCGGGGGAUAACACCUGGAAACAGAUGCUAAUACCGCAUAACAACUUGGACCGCAUGGUCCGAGUUUGAAAGAUGGCUUCGGCUAUCACUUUUGGAUGGUCCCGCGGCGUAUUAGCUAGAUGGUGGGUAACGGCUCACCAUGGCAAUGAUACGUAGCCGACCUGAGAGGGUAAUCGGCCACAUUGGGACUGAGACACGGCCCAAACUCCUACGGGAGGCAGCAGUAGGGAAUCUUCCACAAUGGACGAAAGUCUGAUGGAGCAACGCCGCGUGAGUGAAGAAGGGUUUCGGCUCGUAAAACUCUGUUGUUAAAGAA
rnacentral:rRNA from 1 species